GCCCCCGUGACGAAGCGGUAUAGCGUUUGACUGUAAAUACAACGGUUGUGGGUUCGAUUCCCAUUCGAAGGAA
rnacentral:tRNA from 1 species